rnacentral:rRNA from 1 species
GGAUGCGAUCAUACCAGCACUAAAGCACCGGAUCCCAUCAGAACUCUGAAGUUAAGCAUGCUUGUGCGAGAGUAGUACUAGGUUGGGUGACCUCCUGGGAAGUCCUCGUGUUGCAUUCC